AAUGCAUUGUAUUUGGCCUUACACCCAACUAGGUAAAGAUACCUUUUCUCUACUGCUGCCACAAUUUCUUUGUUCAAUGACAAGACUCUUCACAUGGCUAAUUCAGAUUAUCAUCCCCCAUUAUGGCUAAAAACAAUGCACCAAAGCUUUCUGUACCAAAAAAGGAUUAAAAUGUCGCACCAUAAGAGGCCCCACACACGGGUAUUUCAAUCUAUUUGAUCUUAUUCUUCUGCAACUUCAACAUCAAUGUUGGAAACAUGAUUGCAUCUGCAAACAAGGAGGACCAAACUCCAGACCUUAGAUGCUACCAACAAUAUAUGUCUUUCUGAUUUUCUGUUGCAAAGAUACAAUCGAAUUCAAAAAAACGACAGUAAAGAUUUGUUUUGAUCAUGGAGAAAACAGGGUUAAGUAUGCCUAUGAAGAGGAUGGAAGUGGAUCCUCAUCACAUUAUGAUGAACAGAGUAAGGUCAUACAGGCCUUCAUUCACACAAAAACUGGAGACAAUUGCAGAGGAAGGCAACGAGGAUUUGGCGGCUGCCUUUGGUAAGGCUUGUAGAAUUCACAUGCAAAUUGAGGGUAAGAGUAAAGGAGGGUUUCCAUUUUCUCAGUGAACUUCUCAGCUAAUCCUGUGGGUUUGUAAUAUCUCAAGGUUUGGGUUUAGAGAAAUAAAAAUUGUGUGUUUAUAUGA